GGGUUCUCCUGACGCGGCCAAGCCUGAUCCUGAGGAGCCAGUGGGGCGCAGGCGCGGCGGCGAGGGGCUGGGUGGUGGUUGAGACCGCGGCGGUACUGGGAGGGGUAGGUGAGGGUCGCGAGGCUGCCUAAGCUUCUGAGUGAGCAUGGCGCUUUUGGAACGCGGGACGGGCGACCUGCUGCGCCAGGAGCUGGGCCGAAGCGGGGCGGCGCGGCUGCCGGCUGCCCUCUGGAUGGGAAGUUAUGGCGAAGUCCACCCAGCGUUUCCGAGGCAAUCUGAAGGCAAAUCCUGUUUAGAACCAGGCGAAGGUUCCUGGUGACCCAGGCUCUCACCAGCCGAUUGUCCCUUCCUGUCCUCCUGAGGGUGUCUGGAGCUUCAGUGCUGUGUGCUCUCGGCCUCCACGCUGGGGUGCCACCGACUCCCACUGUCCAGGGCUUCCGGUGGACUCUCCGAGGCACUGAUACAGAAACUUCCCCAUUCGGUGCACCAAGAGCAGCCUCACACGGUGUGGGCCGACAUGAAGAGCUGCCAGAUCAAACAGAUGGAGUUUUUGCUCUAUUCCUCGGGCUGGAAUGCAAUGGUGUGAUCUCAGCUCACUGCAACCUCCACCUCCUGGGUUCAAGUGAUUCUCCUGCCUCAGUCUCCGGAGUAGCUGGGAUAACAGAAAUGUGAUUGAUAACAGUAAAGCCGCACUCCUCAUGUGCCUGAAAUAUCCCUCGUUGUCUUCUUCAGGUGGCAAGGGCUCUGGAACAGCCACAUAAAGAGCUCAAGCUGUUUUUCAAAGUUCAAUACAGAUAUUGAAAGAGAAGACUUCAUCUUUUCCAACCAGCCCCAGAAAGUUGUCAUGUAUGGAAUGAUGUGAUUAGAUCCAGUGCAUGCAGGUAACCUCACCAGCUUAAAGUCAUAUAACUGGCAUAUAACAACAUAAUCACAGGAAUGGUGUCUCAUCACCUUAACGGGCUUUAGAGACAAGGGUGUGGCAUGUUUGGGGACCAUUUCAGAAAUUCCAUCUACCGCAGAUUCACAUUCCCCCAACUGCGAAAUGCAUUCACCCUCUCCCUUAAGGUUUCCGAAUUUCAUGUCAUUAAAGCAUUAGUUCAACAUGAAAAAUGUCAUGUAGACAACAUCAGAUGAAAAGUUUAAAAUCCCAUUUAAAACAUCCACACCAGGUGUGGAUGAGGCUUCUAGGGUGUCCAUGAAGUACAGAUCCUUGACAUAAUUCCCUUUCCUCUGUCGGCCUGUGAAACUGAACGAACAGCUUAUCUGCCCCUAAUGUGAAAUGACGGGACAGACAUGGAAUAACAACUACAGUGAUUCUAGUUCAAAAUGAGGGAACAAGGAAGGGAUAAAGAAGUCACUGACCCACAAUAGUUUGGAAAUGGAGCUGGGCAAAAUCCAGCAGGAGUUUCUUAAUUAGGAUCCACAGCCUGGGACCGACCCGCUGUCCUGUCUUUGCCUCUGGGCUCUCUGCUCUGCAUUUCUUGAGACCAUGAUUGUUCAUCUCUUUUCUCACACUCUUUUGUGUAUGGCUCCUAUUGCACUGAAAAUGUUUUUGAGAUUCAUCCGUGUUGUUUUGUGUGUCAACAGUUUGUUCCUUUAGGCUUUCCAUGGAAUGAAUGUAUCACAGUUUAUUGAUCCAUUGUUGUAUUGACAGAUGCUUGAAUGUUUCCAGUUUUUCCUAUUAUGAAUAAAAGUGCUAUGAACGUUCUUGUAUAAAUCA